rnacentral:rRNA from 1 species
CAGGGAAUCUUCGGCAAUGGGGGGAACCCUGACCGAGCAACGCCGCGUGAGUGAAGAAGGUUUUCGGAUCGUAAAGCUCUGUUGUUAAGGAAGAACGAGUGUGAGAAUGGAAAGUUCAUGCUGUGACGGUACUUAACCAGAAAGGGACGGCUAACUACGUGCCAGCAGCCGCGGUAAUACGUAGGUCCCGAGCGUUGUCCGGAUUUAUUGGGCGUAAAGCGAGCGCAGGCGGUUAGAAAAGUCUGAAGUGAAAGGCAGUGGCUCAACCAUUGUAGGCUUUGGAAACUGUUUAACUUGAGUGCAGAAGGGGAGAGUGGAAUUCCAUGUGUAGCGGUGAAAUGCGUAGAUAUUUGGAGGAACACCGGUGGCGAAAGCGGCUCUCUGGUCUGUAACUGACGCUGAGGCUCGAAAGCGUGGGGAGCGAACAGG